AUUUAAUUUAGCUAUGGCCAGAGUGACUUUACCAUUAGGACCUGUGUUUUCUGGAAUGUAAGUGCAACAAGUCAUAGUGUCGGGAAGUAUUUUACAGACUCCCCUUUUUUCGGCUAAGAUCAUGUCUAAGGCCAGUCUGUUCUGGAAGGUCAUUUGGGAUGUGGCCUGUAAUUGCUCGGCCAAGCCCUGGAGGGCAUCCCUGGUAUAGUUCACGAAGCGCUGUUGGUUGUAAUAGAUAUAAUUAAUCCAAUUAAGGUUUUUGUUGGCAGUGACUAUAGUGAACAGUGAUUCAAAACCUGCAGCUACUUCAUCUCUAGCUUUAAAUUCAUUAGGUACCCCCCUAGGCACCCCAAUGGCAUCUAUGUAAAUGUGGGGGUCAAAACUGCCUUUUACUGGGGUUUCGCGCCUUACUCUGGCUGAUGUAUGUGGAGGGUCGUAUG